GAUUAACGCUGGCGGCGUGCAUAACACAUGCAAGUCGAACGAUGAAACUUAGUAUACUUCUUCGGAAAGACACUAAGCGGGUUAGUUGCGAACGGGUGAGUAACGCGUGAGUAACCUGCCUUACACAAGGGGAUAGCCUUUGGAAACGAAGAAUAAUACCCUAUAACACCAUAAAAGCACAUGCUAGAGUGGUCAAAGUGGUAGCGGUGUAAGAUGGACUUGCUUCUGAUUAGCUUGUUGGUGAGAUAAAAGCUCACCAAGGCGACGAUCAGUAGCCGGAGUGUGAGAGGGUACGGCCACACUGGGACUGAGACCAGACCCAGACUCCUACGAGAGGCAGCAGUGGGUACUUUAGCACAAUGAGGGAAACGCUGAUGCAGCGAGGCCGCGAGAUUUAGAAUCGCGUCGGGUAGUAAAAUUCUUUUUUAUAGGAAGAAAAUGACAGUACUAGACGAAUAAGGUCCGGCUAAUUACGUG
rnacentral:rRNA from 1 species